UUUCAGCGUGCCAAUGCACGAGAUGACCGACCUGAGGUGAGGAGAUCAGAAGGCUCUUCAUACACCAAUCAAGAAGAGCAACGAGUGCUGAUAAUGUUCAAACUGAACAUAAGCCUGCCAAUGCACAAGAUGGCCAACCGACCUGAGUGAGGAGAUCAGGAGGCCCUUUGUGCACCAAUCAAGCGCAACCAGUGCUGAAGAAUCCUCUGAAGAAAUUCAUAAUGCUCAAACUGAACAUUUACACUGACUCAAGCCUGCAAAUGCUCAAGAUGACCAACGGACCUGAGCAGGAUUCCAAAGGGAUCCAGAAGGCUCUUGGUGCACUAAUCAAGAGGAACUUGAGGAUAAUCUUCAAACUGAACGUGAGUGGCUGUACAAGAUGAGCAGGAUUCUAAAGCGUGAGAUCAGAAGGCUCUUGGUGCACUAAUCAAGAAGAGCAACGAGUGCUGAACUUGAGGAUAAUGUUCAAACUGAACAGAAGAUGAUCAACAGACCUGGGUGAGGAGAUCAGGAGGCUCUUCGUACACCAAUCAAGCGCAACCAGUGCUGAAGAAUCCUGAAGAAAUUCAUAAUGCUCAAACUGAACAUUUACACUGACUCAAGCCUGCAAAUGCUCAAGAUGACCAACGGACCUGAGCAGGAUUCCAAAGGGAUCCAGAAGGCUCUUGGUGCACUAAUCAAGAAGAGCAACGAGUGCUGAACUUGAGGAUAAUGUUUAAACUGAACAGAAGCCUGCCAAUGCACAAGAUGAUCAACAGACCUGAGUGAGGAUAUCAGGAGGCUUUUUGUGCACCAAUCAAGAUGAAAAGUGCUAAUAAAGCAUCGUGUCAUACCGUCCAAAGAAUGACCUCAUGAUAAGACCAAGAUGCUGGAGCCUCUGGAGAAGGAAGCACCUGCAGAGCCUUGGACAUGUAUUAUAUGUACAUGGAUUGUGAUUUAAUAAAUUUCUCAAAUGUAUGAGUCAUUCAUGUAAA